rnacentral:lncRNA from 1 species
GCCCCUGAUACGGGAUCCUUCUCUCUUGAGCCGGCAGAGCCCUGGGGAGCCAGCUGCACCAGGAGCUCUUGGCCGUCCUUCCUGUUCUCCUCUCCGCAGGUCCAGCACCGCCGCAGCCACUUCCUUCUGUGGAGCAGGUACCCCUGUCCCUGGUCCCUGGGCCCAGAGGAAGAGUCUCACUCUGUCACCAGGCUGGAGUACAGUGGCGUGAUCCUGGCUCACCGUGACCUCCGCCUCCUGGGUUCAGGUGAUUCUCCUGCCUCAGCCUCCCGAGUAGCUAGGACUAGAGGUGCACACCACCACACCCAGCUAAUUUUGUAUUUUUAGUAGAGACGGGGUUUCACCAUGUUGGCCAGGAUGGUCUCAAUCUCUUGACCUUGUGAUCUGCAUGCCUCAGCCUCCCAAAGUGCUGGGAUUACAGGCGUGAGCCACCGCACCCAGCUGUUGUUUGUUCUUUUCAGACAGGGUCUUGCUCUGUCACCCAGGCUGGAGUGCAGUGGUGCAAUCAUGGCUCACUGCAGCCUCGACCCCUCCCCUGGGCUCAAGCGAUCUUCCCACCUCAGCCUCCAGAGUAGCUGGGACCACAGGCCUGUUUUUUAAUUUUUCGUAGAGACAGAGUCUUGCAGUAUUGCCCAGGCUCGUCUUGAACUCCUGGGCUAAAGUGAUCCUCCUGCCUCAGCCUCCCAAAGUGUUGGGUUCACAGGCAUGAGCCACUGUGUCUGGCCAAGUUUUAAAUUUUGAUGAAGUCCAACUUACCUAUUUUUUUUUUUCGUGCUUUUAAUUUCAUACUUAAGAAAGCAUUGCCUAAUCCAAGGUCAUGAAGAUUUUCACCUGUUUUCUUCUAAGAGUUUUAUAGUUUCACUUAUAUGUGUUUCUGGCAUCUCUUCCUUUUGGGCUCAGGUCUAUGGUACCCCUUAGACACUCCCUGACCAGGGGCACUCCAUGGUUGAGGGCCUGCCUUUUUGGAUAUGGUACACUCCGCACACAUUGAGCUCAUAUUUGUGGGGUAUGUGUUCCACAGCGCUCUCAUGCUACCUUUCAAACCUAGACUUGCCUUGCCACCUCCCCACUCCAACUCUGAACCUCAGCUCUGAACCCCUAAAGACCUCACCCCUCUCUUAGUCACUAAGGGGUUUGCUGAAUGCCUGGUAGGCUCCGCACUGCUAUGGGGCACAUAUCUUCAGUUCUAGGUCCUGAGAAAUGGGCUCUCACAAGCUGUAAAAAACAAGGCAAGGAAAAUAGAGAUAGCUCUGGGGUAGCUACAGGAACCUCAAAGGAGAAGUUCCAGCUGGAAGCCAAAUUCAUGCUGCUCCUUGAAGGUUGAAUAAGGUUUCAGCAGGCAAAGAUUAUCUGUGGUGGAGAUAGAGCUGGGCAGCUAGGGAGCCCUUGAGCAGACAGAACUGCCCCCAGAGUGGGUCUGCGGAGAGCAGGGAAUGGGGACAGAGCUGGGGGCAGGAAAUGAGGACUUUUCACAUCUCACGGGCAAUGGGGAGCCACAGAAGGUUUUUGAGCAGGGGAGUGACUGUUAAAGGCAGCACUUCGGCAAGUUCAGUAAAGCCCCAUUAUGGUCUAUAGUUAGUAAGGCAGGUGGUAGGAGACAAGCCUCAGGAAGAAACCAUCAUUCUAGCUGGGUGUCUUGGAGUGAGUAACUGGGCAUCUCUGGGCUCCAGUUCCUG